rnacentral:rRNA from 1 species
CCUACGGGAGGCAGCAGUGGGGAAUAUUGGACAAUGGGGGGAACCCUGAUCCAGCCAUGCCGCGUGUGUGAAGAAGGCCCUCGGGUUGUAAAGCACUUUCAGUGAGGAAGAACGCCUGGUGGUUAAUACCCAUCAGGAAAGACAUCACUCACAGAAGAAGCACCGGCUAACUCCGUGCCAGCAGCCGCGGUAAUACGGAGGGUGCGAGCGUUAAUCGGAAUUACUGGGCGUAAAGCGCGCGUAGGUGGCUUGAUAAGCCGGUUGUGAAAGCCCCGGGCUCAACUUGGGAACGGCAUCCGGAACUGUCAAGCUAGAGUGCAGGAGAGGAAGGUAGAAUUCCCGGUGUAGCGGUGAAAUGCGUAGAGAUCGGGAGGAAUACCAGUGGCGAAGGCGGCCUUCUGGACUGACACUGACACUGAGGUGCGAAAGCGUGGGUAGCAAACAGGAUUAGAUACCCUUGUAGUC